GUGGUGGCUCAGUGGUAGAGCACUUGCCUAGCACGUGUGAGGCACUGGGUUCAAUUCUCAGCACCACA
rnacentral:tRNA from 1 species